rnacentral:tRNA from 1 species
UCUAAGGAUGAUUAAGGAUUAUUUCUUAAUCUAAAUAAUAUAACAGGUUAAUGUUGACCGUCCUCAUUUCUCUUCUUAAAGUAGUGUUUCUUACUUCAGUGUAGGGGCCGGUAGCUCAGUUGGUUAGAGCACACCCUUGAUAAGGGUGGGGUCGAAAGUUCGAGUCUUUCUCGGCCCACCAAAAUAAGAUCAUGGGGGAUUAGCUCAGCUGGGAGAGCGCCUGAUUUGCAUUCAGGAGGUCAGCGGUUCGAUCCCGCUAUCCUCCACCAAAAACACUUAGUUAUAAAAAUCGUAAAUAAAAAUAAUAAUUAAUAUCAAUAUCUAUAUCCGAACAUUAGAUAAUGUUAUUAGCUAAUGUUCAAAAUAAAAAUUUGAUUCAACACAGAAUUUUUUUCUGUGCAUAAAU